UAUAUAAGACGAGAAGACCCCAUGGAGCUUAAAACCCAAUUACACUCCUAAUCUUAUAACCUCACAACCACUAGGAACCUGUAUAUUGGUUUUAGGUUGGGGCGACCACGGAGCACAACAAAACCUCCACAAUGAACGGGACCACCCCCUUAUCUAAGAGCUACCCCUCUAAGAAUUAAAAUAUUAACAUAAAAUGAUCCAUUUUUGAUCAAUGAACCAAGUUACCCUGGGGAUAACAGCGCAAUCCAUUUCAAGAGCCCCUAUCGACAAA
rnacentral:rRNA from 1 species